CUGGUACAGCACAUCCAUCACAACAUAAAAUCCAAAACCUCGGGUCAUCCUACAAUAUUAAUAUCUCUGCAUCAUAAUCCUUGCUAAACCAGAGUAAAAAUACAUGUACUUUUGAAUUGGAGAGUAUGCUAUUAAUCUUUUUCCAAACAUACUACCAAAUUUAAUCAAUUCGGAAGUUUCUCGAAUAAAUACCAAAACAAUUUGAUCACAACCUGAUACGCAAAGAACCAAGCAAGCAACAACAAUGCCCGUGAAAACAUGCUCCCAAAACAUACUUCAUAAAGAGAAAUGCCUGACAUCCUCGGCAAAACCAAACAUCUAUUACAUCAAAACAAAAUUGAACUAUGUUUGAAACCAAUAUACACUUUAAUGAGGUAUUUGAUUUCAACUUGGAAUCAUGUCACUAAAUUUCAACCAAAUUAAGAAAGCUUUAAUAGAUAAAACUGAUUAAUACCACCAGUUGAAUAAGGGACUAUCAUACAUCUAAACCAUAAAUCCUGAAAGAUCAGGAUUUGAGAACACCCACAAUGACUAACUCGCUAUAUAACUAGAGGAGAUUCAUUCCAUAAACGUGUCUGAAUCCAGAUAUGUGAACCAGUUCUGCAUGCCGGCACUUCACUCGUACACAAGAUAAAAGCAAAAAACAUAAAAACAAAGAGAGAGAGAGAGAGAGAUCGUGAACGGAGAUCAGAUCUACUUUGGUGGUAACAGGUUAACAGCAACGUUGAUGCUUAAGCCCCUUCAGUUCACCUUGACCUCACUCGCCCUACGCGGUACGUAGCUUUAUUUUAAUUUUUUGUUUGGAAAACCAGAAAAUGAUUGGAUUUGUAUCUCUGUCCCUCUGAUUUUCAUUCCUUUUUUUUUAAUUUUUU
rnacentral:misc_RNA from 1 species